rnacentral:lncRNA from 1 species
UGAAUGUGUUGAAAAGGCUUUAGAGGGAUUUAAAAUAUAGGAAAUAACAAGGUCUGACUUAAAUUUACAAAAGAUCUCUCUAGCAGCUGAUGGGCGACAGUCUAUAGGGAGCAAGAGCAGAAGAUCUAUUCUCCUCAGGGCAGACAAUAGGCACCUUUCAAGGACGAGGCAAGUAAGGCCCAGAGAGCUGACAAGAUCUGUCCUAGCUCACUCCAUUUUGUACUUUUGGUUCCCAGACCAGUGGCCCUUUGUGGCUACACAUUCUCUAACUGAGGCACAACUGACCAGGCUCCAGGUGAAGCUUCUCGGCCUGCAUUACAGGUCCUGUUGUGCCCAACUCAUGAUUUAUCCAGGUCACACCAGUCUGGUCUGUCACAGUAAGAGGGCCACCAGGAAACACACCUUCAGGAAGCACCUUUUCUGUUCUAUCCCAAAGGGCACCAUCACAUACACUAUAAUAUGAAUCAUGACCCCCGGAGUUGUGUGGAGUUUCUGCAUCUCUCCCUCCCCACUGUGGCUACCCUCAUCCAGCAACCAUCCUGUCUCUCACCGGUAUUACCGCAGCUGAGACCCAGGUCUUAAGGAAGCUGAGACCCAGGCCAGCAGGGGCCUCACAGGUAGAAUGAAGCUUGGAAAAAGAGGAGGGUGUAAGACUCUGGAUGAAGCUGAGAGAUCCUUCCAUGCUUGGCUGAGAGACUACACAGACAUGAGCUUCAGGAGACUCCAAAGCCUCGGAUCCCCUUCUAAACUAGCACUGAAUUCUGAUUGGCUGUCUUUGCCUGCCUCAGUUUGUUCCUUUUACUGAUUGGCUAGGUUCUUCUGCCCAUGGCAGAGCCCUGCUCCAGCCACCGGAUCCUCCCACCUGCCACAGUGUCACCUGGGAUUGGCUGGGCUCUGAAAGGCCAGGCUGGCUUGACUCUUGCCAUCAUCAGAUUCUUCCUCAUUAAACAAAUGAAUCACAAUCCUAAUUAAUUUGAGCAACAGAAUUUAUGUAACUACUCCCAGCAGGAUGUCUGCUCUCAGUCAGCAGAGAGAUUACUUCCUCUCUCUGGGAAAUUCCAGCCUUGCUGGUCAAUAAGCCUUAAUGAUGACUGAAAUCUCCCAUCUGUCUCUGCUCAGGGCAGGUAACCCCUACUAAGCAGACACCCAGUUGGCUCGAGGCAGUACCCCGGGCACCGGCAGGACAAGGACAACGAUCUCCCAGCCUAGAUGUGUCCUGAGCCACAUGGAGCACACAGAUUACAGGAUCUGACUCCCAUUUGGGCCUUCCACCUCCGCUGGCCUAAGCAGUCAAGUGUCAGAGAGCACUGGACCUAACAGCUCCCUCACCAGAGCAGCUGUGAUUCCUUCUUCAUUUCCAGCAGGGAAGACCCAACAACUUUUAUAAUAUGGGAUUUCUUUUAUUCUCAUGAUAAUAAUGUUCAUUGUGGAAAAUAAAAAAAAAUGAUAAAAUAAAAAUCAGCCAGAAUUCCAACUUCUGGAGAUUUUGGUGUCUUUCUGCAAAGUUCCUAUGCACAUAGAUACUUUAUAAAAUUAUGAACAUACUGUACAUACAGUUUUGGAAUAUGCCUUUUUCCUUCUGUCAUGAAAAAGUCUUCAAAUGCCUUUUAACAGCUACACAAUAGUUCACUACAUGAACCAACUCAAAUGUAACUAUUUUUGGCCUUUUGUUAUAAAUAACACAAGAACCCUCAGUCUUUGUUACAUAAUGUCCUAACAGAGUAGGGGAAAUGCUCCCCAAUCCGGUGCAAUGUCCUGUGCCCAGGGAAACCAAUU